rnacentral:rRNA from 1 species
CCGGCGCACGGGUGAGUAACACGUAUGCAACCUGCCCUCUUCAGGGGGACAACCUUCCGAAAGGGAGGCUAAUCCCGCGUAUAUCGGUUUCGGGCAUCCGAGAUCGAGGAAAGAUUCAUCGGAAGAGGAUGGGCAUGCGGCGCAUUAGCUAGACGGCGGGGUAACGGCUCACCGUGGCGACGAUGCGUAGGGGUUCUGAGAGGAAGGUCCCCCACACUGGUACUGAGACACGGACCAGACUCCUACGGAAGGCAGCAG